rnacentral:rRNA from 1 species
GCAUAUCAAUAAGCGGAAGGAAAAGAAACUAACAAGGAUUCCCCUAGUAACUGCGAGUGAAGCGGGAAAAAGCUCAAAUUUAAAAAUCUGGCAGUCUUUGAUUGUCCGAGUUGUAAUCUGGAGAAGCGUCUUCUGCGCUGGACCGUGUACAAGUCUCUUGGAACAGAGCGUCAUAGAGGGUGAGAAUCCCGUCUUUGACACGGACUACCAGUGCUUUGUGAAACGCUCUCAAAGAGUCGAGUUGUUUGGGAAUGCAGCUCAAAAUGGGUGGUAAAUUCCAUCUAAAGCUAAAUAUUGGCGAGAGACCGAUAGCGAACAAGUACCGUGAGGGAAAGAUGAAAAGCACUUUGGAAAGAGAGUUAAACAGUACGUGAAAUUGCUGAAAGGGAAACGCUUGAAGUCAGUCGCGUCUGCUAGUACUCAGCCUUCCUUCUGGUUGGUGCAUUUACUAGUUGACGGGCCAGCAUCAGUUUUGGUCGCGGGAUAAAGGUCAGAGGAAUGUGGCACCUUCGGGUGUGUUAUAGCCUCUGGUCAUAUACCGUGGCUGGGACUGAGGAUCUCAGCACGCCUUUAUGGCGGGGGUUCGCCCACCUUCGUGCUUAGGAUGCUGGCGUAAUGGCUUUAAACGACCCGUCUUGAAACACGGACCAAGGAGUCUAACAUGCCUGCGAGUGUUUGGGUGGAAAACCCGAGCGCGUAAUGAAAGUAAUAGUUGGGAUCCCUGUCGUGGGGAGCACCGACGCCCGGACCAGACCUUCUGUGACGGAUCCGCGGUAGAGCAUGUAUGUUGGGACCCGAAAGAUGGUGAACUAUGCCUGAAUAGGGUGAAGCCAGAGGAAAACUCUGGUGGAGGCUCGUAGCGAUUUCUGACGUGCAAAUCGAUCGUCAAAUUUGGGUAUAGGGGGCGAAAGACUAAUCGAACCAUCUAGUAGCUGGGUUCCUGCCGA